AGGAGAGUUUGAUCCUGGCUCAGGAUGAACGCUGGCGGCGUGCUUAACACAUGCAAGUCGAACGAAGCAAUUUGAUCGGAUCUCUUCGGAGUGACGAACUUAUUGACUGAGUGGCGGACGGGUGAGUAACGCGUGGGUAACCUGCCUUGCACAGGGGGAUAACAGUUAGAAAUGACUGCUAAUACCGCAUAACCCGCUAGUACCGCAUGGUACGGACGGAAAAGAUUUAUCGGUGUAAGAUGGACCCGCGUCUGAUUAGCUAGUUGGUGAGGUAACGGCUCACCAAGGCAACGAUCAGUAGCCGGCUUGAGAGAGUGAUCGGCCACAUUGGGACUGAGACACGGCCCAAACUCCUACGGGAGGCAGCAGUGGGGAAUAUUGCACAAUGGGGGAAACCCUGAUGCAGCGACGCCGCGUGAGUGAAGAAGUAUUUCGGUAUGUAAAGCUCUAUCAGCAGGGAAGAAAAUGACGGUACCUGACUAAGAAGCCCCGGCUAACUACGUGCCAGCAGCCGCGGUAAUACGUAGGGGGCAAGCGUUAUCCGGAUUUACUGGGUGUAAAGGGAGCGUAGGUGGUCUGGCAAGUCAGAUGUGAAAACCCGGGGCUUAACUCCGGGAUUGCAUUUGAAACUGUUAGACUAGAGUGCAGGAGAGGUAAGUGGAAUUCCUAGUGUAGCGGUGAAAUGCGUAGAUAUUAGGAGGAACACCAGUGGCGAAGGCGGCUUACUGGACUGUAACUGACACUGAGGCUCGAAAGCGUGGGGAGCAAACAGGAUUAGAUACCCUGGUAGUCCCCU
rnacentral:rRNA from 1 species